rnacentral:rRNA from 1 species
UACGGAGGGUGCAAGCGUUAAUCGGAAUUACUGGGCGUAAAGCGUGCGCAGGCGGUUUGUUAAGUCUGCUGUGAAAUCCCCGAGCUCAACUUGGGAAUUGCAGUGGAUACUGGCAAGCUGGAGUACGGUAGAGGAAGGUGGAAUUCCCGGUGUAGCAGUGAAAUGCGUAGAGAUCGGGAGGAACACCAGUGGCGAAGGCGGCCUUCUGGACCAGUACUGACGCUCAUGCACGAAAGCGUGGGGAGCAAAC